AGAUUGAACGCUGGCGGCAGGCCUAACACAUGCAAGUCGAGCGGAAACAGAGAGUAACUUGUUACUUUGCUGUCGAGCGGCGGACGGGUGAGUAAUGCUUGGGAAACUGCCCAGUCGAGGGGGACAACCAUUGGAAACGAUGGCUAAUACCGCAUACGCCCUACGGGGGAAAGAAGGGGACUCUUCGGAGCCUUUCGCGAUUGGAUGUGCCCAAGUGGGAUUAGCUAGUUGGUGAGGUAAAUGCUCACCAAGGCAACAAUCCCUAGCUGGUUUGAGAGGAUGAUCAGCCACACUGGAACUGAGACACGGUCCAGACUCCUACGGGGGCAGCAGUGGGGAAUAUUGCACAAUGGGCGCAAGCCUGAUGCAGCCAUGCCGCGUGUAUGAAGAAGGCCUUCGGGUUGUAAAGUACUUUCAGCGAGGAGGAAAGGUUAGUCGUUAAUAACGGCUAGCUGUGACGUUACUCGCAGAAGAAGGACCGGCUAACUCCGUGCCAGCAGCCGCGGUAAUACGGAGGGUCCGAGCGUUAAUCGGAAUUACUGGGCGUAAAGCGUACGCAGGCGGUUUGUUAAGCGAGAUGUGAAAGCCCCGGGCUCAACCUGGGAACUGCAUUUCGAACUGACAAACUAGAGUUUUGUAGAGGGUGGUAGAAUUUCAGGUGUAGCGGUGAAAUGCGUAGAGAUCUGAAGGAAUACCAGUGGCGAAGGCGGCCACCUGGACAAUAACUGACGCUCAUGUACGAAAGCGUGGGGAGCAAACGGGAUUAGAUACCCCGGUAGUCCACGCCGUAAACGAUGUCAACUAGCCGACUGAAUCCUUGAGAUUUGGGUGGCGCAGCUAACGCAUUAAGUUGACCGCCUGGGGAGUACGGCCGCAAGGUUA
rnacentral:rRNA from 1 species